rnacentral:misc_RNA from 1 species
GAUGAAGAACGCAGCGAAAUGCGAUAAGUAAUGUGAAUUGCAGAAUUCAGUGAAUCAUCGAAUCUUUGAACGCACAUUGCGCCCGCCAGUAUUCUGGCGGGCAUGCCUGUUCGAGCGUCAUUUCAACCAUCAAGCCCCCGGCUUGUGUUUGGGACCUGCGGCUGCCGCAGGCCCUGAAAACCAGUGGCGGGCUCGCUAGUCACUCCGAGCGUAGUAGUUACAUCUCGCUCAGGGCGUGCUGCGGGUUCCGGCCGUUAAAAGCCUUAUUUACCCAAGGUUGACCUCGGAUCAGGUAGGAAGACCCGCUGAACUUAAGCAUAUCAAUAAGCGGAGGA